rnacentral:rRNA from 1 species
GACGAACGCUGGCGGCGUGCUUAACACAUGCAAGUCGAGCGGUAAGGCCCUUUCGGGGGUACACGAGCGGCGAACGGGUGAGUAACACGUGGGUGACCUGCCCUCAGCUCUGGGAUAAGCCUGGGAAACCGGGUCUAAUACUGGAUAUGACUCCAUGACGCAUGUUGUGGGGUGGAAAGCCUUGUGCGGCUGAGGAUGGGCCCGCGGCCUAUCAGCUUGUUGGUGGGGUGAGGCCUACCAAGGCGACGACGGGUAGCCGGCCUGAGAGGGCGACCGGCCACACUGGGACUGAGACACGGCCCAGACCUCCGUA